GACGAACCGUCCAAACGUUAUUCGGAAUCACUGGGCUUACAGAGUUCGUAGGCGGUCUGGAAAGUUGGGUGUGAAAUCCCUCGGCUCAACCGAGGAACUGCGCUUGAAACUACCAGACUCGAGGGAGAUAGAGGAAAGCGGAACUGAUGGUGGAGCGGUGAAAUGCGUUGAUAUCAAUCAGGAACACCGGUGGCGAAGGCGGCUUACU
rnacentral:rRNA from 1 species